CAGGUGAUUCGUGUUACUGACGUGCUGUUGAAUUCUCUUAGGCAAUGUGUGAACAGUUUAUUUCAAAAUCUAAAAGUUGUGGGAGGGUUAUAGUAAUGUCCCUGAAAUGCUGACAUCACUUUUUAAAUAUUUAAUAACGUUAAUAAUUUCUUAAUGUAUAGACCAUACUGUAUUAUUCUACUAUAGAGCACAUUUCAUUUAAAGAAGAGUCUCUACAAUUGGCACAACAAUGCUGUUUAGCUCAAUUAUUUUAUCAGUACUGCCAAUAUUGAAUGGCCUAAAGGAAGAUAAAGCUUCCAAUGUCGCCUCAAGAUUAUUAAAUGAAAAGAAUUCACAUACUCCAGUUCCACUCAGUGAUGAGCAGAUCAUUAAAGUUGCAAGUCUUUCAAAUGUCAACCACUUUGAGUAUGUGCUGGACACCAUAUUGAUACCAAGAGUUGUUGGAACAGCAAAUCAUGAAUUUGUGAAGCAGUUUAUCAUCAAAACAAUGCAAGAACUAGACUGGAAGGUAGAAUCAGACCCAUUUGAAGAAACUACACCUAUAUUUGGACGUCUGCAGUUUGAGAAUAUUGUGGCAACAUUAAAUCCCAAUGCAAGGCGGUAUCUUGUUUUGGCGUGUCAUUAUGACUCCAAAUACUACAGGGAGAGUGAUUUUGUUGGUGCAACUGAUUCAGCAGUGCCUUGUACCAUGAUGAUUAACUUGGCACAUAUUCUGUCACAACCACUGAAGAGCACGCUGUCUGAGAAUGACUUAAGUUUGAAAUUCAUCUUCUUUGAUGGAGAGGAGGCAUUUGAAGAAUGGGGACCAAAAGACUCAAUUUAUGGGGCACGACACCUAGCAGCAAAAUGGGAGCAAAGUGCAUAUCCGAAGGACAACAGAGAUGGUACAAACCAGCUCCACAGAAUGGAUGUUCUAGUUUUGCUGGACCUACUCGGGGCCCCAGAUCCAUUAUUUUACAGUUACUUCAAAGAAACAGAAAGCUGGUACCGUCAAAUGAUGUUAGCAGAAAGAAACCUGGCAAGAUUGGGCCAACUGGUGCAAUAUUCAGUGGGGAAACCUGAUCAGUAUUAUUUUCAGCAGAUGUCAAGACGCGGUGGCAUUGAAGACGAUCAUAUUCCGUUCAUGAUUCGAGGUGUCCCCAUCUUGCAUAUAAUUCCAGUUCCAUUCCCUUCAGUGUGGCAUACAGAAGGCGAUAAUCGAAAUGCUGUUAACAUGGCAACAGUUGAAAACCUUAACAAGAUUUUGAGGCUUUUUGUGGCAGAAUAUCUUCAUUUACAGGUCUAAAUUAAAUCCAUAUGAUCACCCAGGACAUAAUAUUAAAACUGAAAAGAGUCAGUUAAAAAUCUGUAGAGUGUUUUAAGAGGGCAAAAUGUUCUUAAACGACAUCCGAUGCAUACUCUUUCUAUAUUAAUAGAUAGGCAUUACUUCUGCGCGUACAUCUACAAGACAAUAUACAUAUAUCGGCAAAGUGAGCCAUUUUCAUGUACCCAUAAACUAUUAAUAAACACAAAAUUCUUACCAGUUAGAAGCCAGAAUAGGAACAGCGCCUCAUUGGUUGGCUGUUUAGUGAAGAAGUUUAAGGUAGGAGAGAAACAGUUCUUAUUUCAGCUGUGAUGCACAUGAUGUUGAAAUUUCAAGACUGUUUUGGAGAAAAUAACACAACCACUUCCAUAUAUUUCCUGGCUGAUCAUUCAUAAUCAUAUUUGCAUCUCAUUCAGCACUACAAACAACAACAAUUACAUUUCAAUAAAUCCUGAAAGAUGUGCAUCUGAAGAGUAGAUGGGUAUAGUUGGUUCAAGAGAUUUAACAUAAAAAUACAGAGAAUAUUGCUAAGUAACAAUAAAGUAAGCCCUUUCUUAUGAAUGUGUAUUACUUUUUCAGUCUUUUGUACUUAAGAAUUGUGUUUUAUUAUUUUAUUACCUUGCAUAGGACUAACCUUCAAAUUUAUUAUUUUACAUUCUGUACAUAAUUAAAACCAAUUAAUGUUUACUGAAGAAUAUUUUUAAAAUGUGUAAAAAAGAUAAGUUUGAUGAGCAACUUAAAUAUAUAAAAAUGUUUACUAUAUUUUUAUACAAACAGUAUAAGUUAAACUAAUGCUUUUUUUUAGUUCCAAAUAUUAUGAAACAUUAAAAUAUGCAGAAGACUGCAGUAAUACUCAAAAAAUGUAUUCAUCAAAGUUUUAUAAUUUGUAUUGACCUUCAGUACUGCACUGCAUUGUAUUAUAUUAAUAAUAAUAUUAGAUAUUAAUAUAUUGUACUAAUAUUUUGGUAAAUUUAAUAAAAGAUCAGAGGGGUAUAUUAUUAUAAGAAGUCAUGACUGGAAAUAGUAUUCCAACAUGGAUUUUAUUCUAGUUUGUUUAUUCAUUCUGUAGGAUGUUCUGAUGGUAGGAUUUAUUUUAUGAAUAAAUAAAUACUGAUUUGUGAUACUGGUA